rnacentral:rRNA from 1 species
CCUACGGGUGGCAGCAGUGGGGAAUAUUGGGCAAUGGGCGCAAGCCUGACCCAGCAACGCCGCGUGAAGGAAGAAGGCUUUCGGGUUGUAAACUUCUUUUGACAGGGAAGAGCAGAAGACGGUACCUGUCGAAUAAGCCACGGCUAACUACGUGCCAGCAGCCGCGGUAAUACGUAGGUGGCAAGCGUUGUCCGGAUUUACGGGGGGGAAAGGGCGUGUAGCCGGGCUGACAAGUCAGAUGUGAAAUCCGGGGGCUCAACCCCCGAACUGCAUUUGAAACUGUUGGUCUUGAGUAUCGGAGAGGCAGGCGGACUUCCUAGUGUAGCGGUGAAAUGCGUAGAUAUUAGGAGGAACCCCAGUGGCGAAGGCGGCCUGCUGGACGACAACUGACGGUGAGGCGCG